GCAAGUCGAACGCACAGCGAAAGGUGCUUGCACCUUUCAAGUGAGUGGCGAACGGGUGAGUAACACGUGGACAACCUGCCUCAAGGCUGGGGAUAACAUUUGGAAACAGAUGCUAAUACCGAAUAAAACUUAGUGUCGCAUGACACAAAGUUAAAAGGCGCUUCGGCGUCACCUAGAGAUGGAUCCGCGGUGCAUUAGUUAGUUGGUGGGGUAAAGGCCUACCAAGACAAUGAUGCAUAGCCGAGUUGAGAGACUGAUCGGCCACAUUGGGACUGAGACACGGCCCAAACUCCUACGGGAGGCUGCAGUAGGGAAUCUUCCACAAUGGGCGAAAGCCUGAUGGAGCAACGCCGCGUGUGUGAUGAAGGCUUUCGGGUCGUAAAGCACUGUUGUAUGGGAAGAACAGCUAGAAUAGGAAAUGAUUUUAGUUUGACGGUACCAUACCAGAAAGGGACGGCUAAAUACGUGCCAGCAGCCGCGGUAAUACGUAUGUCCCGAGCGUUAUCCGGAUUUAUUGGGCGUAAAGCGAGCGCAGACGGUUUAUUAAGUCUGAUGUGAAAGCCCGGAGCUCAACUCCGGAAUGGCAUUGGAAACUGGUUAACUUGAGUGCAGUAGAGGUAAGUGGAACUCCAUGUGUAGCGGUGGAAUGCGUAGAUAUAUGGAAGAACACCAGUGGCGAAGGCGGCUUACUGGACUGCAACUGACGUUGAGGCUCGAAAGUGUGGGUAGCAAACAGGAUUAGAUACCCUGGUAGUCCACACCGUAAACGAUGAACACUAGGUGUUAGGAGGUUUCCGCCUCUUAGUGCCGAAGCUAACGCAUUAAGUGUUCCGCCUGGGGAGUACGACCGCAAGGUUGAAACUCAAAGGAAUUGACGGGGACCCGCACAAGCGGUGGAGCAUGUGGUUUAAUUCGAAGCAACGCGAAGAA
rnacentral:rRNA from 1 species